AACGAACGUGGCGGCGUGGAUUAGGCAUGCAAGUCGAACGAAUCCCAGGGGGCUUGCUCUCUGGGGGAAGUGGCGAAAGGGGCAGUAAGGCGUGGGUAACCUACCCCGGGGACGGGGAUAGCCCUCCUAACGGAGGGGUAAUACCUGGCGAUUUGACGAGGGGGCAUCCCUUUGUCAAGAAAUGAGUUUCGCCUCGGGAGGGGCUCACGUAGUAUUAGCUUGUUGGUGAGGUAACGGCUCACCAAGGCCAAGAUGCUUAGCGGGUGUGAGAGCACGACCCGCGCCACUGGCACUGUGACACUGGCCAGACUCCUACGGGAGGCUGCAGUCGAGGAUCUUCGGCAAUGGGCGCAAGCCUGACCGAGCGACGCCGCGUGUGCGAUGAAGGCCUUCGGGUUGUAAAGCACUGUCGAGAGAAAGAAAGCCGCAAGGUUGAUCGAUCUCUGGAGGAAGCACGGGCUAAGUUCGUGCCAGCAGCCGCGGUAAGACGAACCGUGCGAACGUUGUUCGGAUUCACUGGGCUUAAAGGGCGCGUAGGCGGGUGAUCAAGUCCGGGGUGAAAUCCUCCAGCUUAACUGGAGAAUAGCCCUGGAUACUGGUC
rnacentral:rRNA from 1 species